UCAUCUAGACAGAGAUGGGGGAGGAUGUUGGUGUGAGCUACCUCUAAGAGAAAGCUAGAGCUAGCAGCAGGAGAUGUUUGAUGUUACUAUGUAUUGUGCUGUAAAGAGAAGACUGGGACUCAAGAGCUAGCAGCAAUGUUGAGUCAGAGAAACAAGAAACCAAGGAAAUGAAGUAACCUCAUGUGGACCAAAAGUUCGGGGACUAUGCAACGAUCUGGGAAAUGAGGGAGCCUGGAAACACUUGACGUGGCAACUAGAACAUCACAGGUGGUAGUGGACUAUGCAGGUGCUAUAUGGAUUUGAGCAAAACUCAGAUCAGUGCCACUACAUUUAAUAAAAGGAAUGACCCAUUUCUCUCAUGCUUUAUCAAGAAAUUGCCUUUCAACUGUAGCUUUCCAGGAGGACCUGAGCUGAACAAGUCUUUUUUUUCUUGUCAUGAUCAUGAGAAAACGCACCUGUGAUUUAUCUGCAUCACUUAUCAAAGGGAACUAUCAAGACUCAUUCAUCUUUGUAUAUACAACACUCCAGGGGAAGCCCCGGGAACGCUGGACUGCCAGGGGAACGGUGCUGUGCUCCAGAGAAUAGGCUCGGGAUUGAUUUUAGGAGAUUGUGUUCACCUGGUUUCUUAUUGUCUGGUUAAUCUCAAUCUGCUGUCAUAGUAGUGACAUGCGUUGGUCAUUGGAGAAUCCUGAAAUCAAAUGUGCCAUGAUCUGAAUCGAUGACAGUGUAAGAGAAACAGCACUCUGGGAGAUAUCAGCUACAGCUUUCUGGUAGCAUCAGCUUGUUAAUACAGAAGGCAGGUGAGAAAACGUACAUCCAGUAGGAUCCAAACUCCACCAGGGUCAACAGUAGUCUUUGCAUUAGCAUCAAGAGACUUUGGAUAGGACCUUGUUGCAAGAAUGUCCACAAUUCAUGUCCUUACUGUGGUAUUCUAGGGUGAGAUUUUUAUGAGGCUAGUGCCUUGUGUGCAGGUUAGAUGUUGAACACUUGAAAAUCUGGUCCUCACAGUUUGAUGUGGUAGACUCUUCCUCUGGCACUGACAGUGGCCAAAGGAUGAAGGGAAAGGCUGCUGUUGCUUCUUGAGGAGCUUAUGGCAUGUGCAAGAACUAGGUUGUGCAAGUGGAGCUACUUGUCCUAUUUCCAGCAGACUUGAUCAACCAGUCUUACAGUAGCACAGGGUUAAAACAGCGCUCCUCAAGCACAGGCUUAUUGUCAAGGCAACAAGAGAAUACAUUAAAGUUUUCUUCUGCCAUUCACCACAGUCAUGAUACCCUGGGGCAAAUCUUUGUAUGUGGCACUGGGAUGGGUGAUAGAAUAAAAUGCAGCUUCCAACACUUAGCCUGGUCCUGGGCAGAAUAACGGAUCUAACUGCAGUUAACAGCUCUGAUUUUUCAUUUUGUCUUUGCAGUAAUAAGAGCCUCUCUGAGAUCUUGGAUUAAGUUAAAUGGCUUUUGUGAUACCAGCUUGUGAGAUGUAGAGAAGCCAAAAGAACAGAUGGAAAAUUGGAGGGAAAAUGACAUAAGGAGAAGGAAGACGAUUGUUCUUCCAUGUUUCCUCUUUGAAAUAAAUGGAGCACUUUCCUCUGGGGAAGACUUCUCUGACCCCAGAGCUUUAGCUGAUGUACUGUGUUCCUACAGAUCCAAUCCAUGGAACCACGAUCGCCCUUUGUGGACUCAAAGAUCCCAUGGCUCUUCUCCUGAGAUAAGAGGAUAAAAACUGACUCCCAGGCUGAACAUCCAACAUCCUUUAAAGAAGUGCUACCCUUUGAAAUCUGGCCUAUGUUGUUUUUUUCCCCACACUUUUGGUGCCAAAUGGUUGUAUAAUGUUGUUGUGCCUGUAGCACAAGAGUUAGGUGCAUCCCAGUGGCAGUUCAGAGAAAACAGGGAUGUGAUUUGCAAUGUGUGGUGGGCUUCCUCAAGAGAGGAGUCAUGAGAGACGUUCCAGUUCUCUACAUUUAUAUUUGGGAGAAAAUUAAGCAAAGUUUGCAUGUUGGAGUUGGCUCUGACAAGAAGCCUUUUGCAAAUAUCCCUGGAGCUUUUGUUGCAUGCUUUUGUUAACGUGCCAUUUCACUGGAAUCAUCACCUUUCUGAACAGAUCUUCUUACAUAACUGAAAAGGUGAAAGAUGUUAGUAGCUCCUCCAGAGACGCAACAAGGCAACAUAAUGGAAAUAUCUACCUUCUGUUGGCAAUGGCAGACAUCACUGCCCAGGCCCAGAUAAAAGAAAUGAGGCACUGAGUUAUGGUGAAAGAGGAAAAGGAAUGAAGCAAGAGUGAGGGAGAUAAGAAAGCAAGAUGAAAUGAGACAAAGAGAAGGUGGAAGAUGGAGAUGGAAAAAGACCUGAAAAAGGUAAGACUUCUGCUUGUGCUUUCUCUCUGUUUCUGCCUUAGGUACCCAACAUUACAGUGCAGCAGCAGUGCAGCAUAGAAAGGGCUGUGUAGGGAAGAAAUGGGGCUAGGGACAGAAAUGACACAGAAACCGGUAUAAGUGAUCAGAAACUCGUUCAAAUCUGUAACACAACAGAAGUUCAGAGCACAUAAACUGCUUUCAAAAUAGCCAAAACCUGGUUAAGAUAAGCCUGGAUGGAUAUCAGACUUAACUGGUUUAGGUUAAGUCAGUUUAUUGAACUUCUGUCCUAGAUCCCCUCCAGAUUCAAGUUAACUGACUCCUGCAGAAUCCCAGGAUGCUUUGCACCUCCUCUGCAAACCUUCCCCUCCUCCCCCCAACAGGGCUAGCUUUGGUCCAAGCUGUCUGCUCCAGCCCAGCAGGGAGGUGUGCUCUAGCACCCCUUAGCUUCUGGCCUGCAGGCAUGUGGAUGCAUUUCAGGAAUCAAAAAUGAAUGUCUGUUCACUUGCUUAUCAAUUCAAUCUAUGCAGCUUACAC